CUAAGUACAGAAGGGUAACCAUAGAGUAGGAUUGUCUAGUGAGACCUAGAGAGGCUCAAGCUCUAAAUUACGACCCACCCUGCCAUUUUUGAUUGGAGCUGAUUGAAUCUUAUGACUGUGGGACGCCAUCUUGAGGUCAAGGUUCCGGCUGGUUACCCGCGCGGGGCUUGUUAGAGGUUUUCUCACUUUUUGCUAGUUCGUUUUCCAGGAAUUAGAACCUUGGUCUCCUGAUUCUUUGAAGUUCGAUGAACUGAUACCUGGGCGGGACUAAGAACCUCAAUAGAAAGCCCAAAUGUCAUUUGUCCUUCGAAAAAAACUGCUCACAUCAAGAAAUAAUUGGCAACGGCUAUAUUGGGUUUUUUGGACUUUUUGUGCGUAUACUCACUGCAACUUAGGCGAAGUAACAGGGUCAAAGAGGUUCCUUGUAAAAGGAUGAACAUUACCUACUUCCCAAGACUACUAUAAGGAUUAAAUUAACAAAUAUAUGAAGGUACUUUCUACAAUAAAAUGCACAUUAAAUAUUCUUUA